rnacentral:rRNA from 1 species
AGCGAACGCUGGCGGCAGGCUUAACACAUGCAAGUCGAACGCCCCGCAAGGGGAGUGGCAGACGGGUGAGUAACACGUGGGAACGUACCCUUUGGUUCGGAAUCACUUGGAGAAACUCAAGCUAAUACCGGAUAAGCCCGUAUGGGGAAAGGUUUACUGCCGAAGGAUCGGCCCGCGUCUGAUUAGCUAGUUGGUGAGGUAAUGGCUCACCAAGGCGACGAUCAGUAGCUGGUCUGAGAGGAUGAUCAGCCACACUGGGACUGAGACACGGCCCAGACUCCUACGGGAGGCAGCAGUGGGGAAUAUUGGACAAUGGGGGCAACCCUGAUCCAGCCAUGCCGCGUGAGUGAUGAAGGCCUUAGGGUUGUAAAGCUCUUUUACCCGGGACGAUAAUGACUGUACCGGGAGAAUAAGCCCCGGCUAACUUCGUGCCAGCAGCCGCGGUAA